UACGGGGGGGGCAAGCGUUGUUCGGAAUUACUGGGCGUAAAGGGCUCGUAGGUGGCCUUCUAAGUCCGACGUGAAAUCCCUCGGCUUAACCGGGGAACUGCGUCGGAGACUGGAAGGCUUGAAUCCGGGAGAGGGACGUGGAAUUCCAGGUGUAGCGGUGAAAUGCGUAGAUAUCUGGAGGAACACCGGUGGCGAAGGCGGCGUCCUGGACCGGUAUUGACACUGAUGAGCGAAAGCCAGGGGAG
rnacentral:rRNA from 1 species